AAGCUGGGAGCCACCAGGACCCAGGUGUCCGGGUUUCAGAGGGCCCCUUCAAACAGCUGUCACCGAAGAACCUCUCCAGCCAGUUACUCUUGCCAGGCCUCAGGUACUGCCACCCACGCCUCUGGCUGGAGGUGCCUGAAGUCCAGUGGGGAGAGAGUGCCCCCAGAGGGCAACCGGCCAGUCACCGCUCCCGAAAACUGUCCACUUGACCUCGCACCAUGGAAACGCACCAGCCUGGCCCGGUUCGCAUUGCUGCCAGAGCCCCGUCUGGGUUUCCUCCGUUUUCCUCCUUUGGAUUUUCCCUAAACUUCAACUGAAGUAACUCCAGGACAUGGACUCUGGAUUCCUCACAUCUUGUCUCCAUCAUGCAGUCCACGCAGUAAUUGGGGAAUCCUGUGAAAAUGAUAUGUUUUUUAUUUAUUUUAGAGAGGGAGAGGGAGAAAGAGAAACAUCGAUGUGUGAGAGAAACAUGGAUUUGGAUUGGCUGCUUCCUGCACGCCCCCCUACUGGGAAUCCAGACCAAAAUCCUGGGGAUGUACCCUGACCAGGAAUCGAACCAAGGACCUUUUUGGUGCAUGGAUGAUGCUCAACCAGCUGAACCACAGUGGCCAGACCUGUAUGUUUUGAAAACUUCAUUUUAAUUUCUAAUAUGGUCAGUAUCAAAAGAA